rnacentral:rRNA from 1 species
UACGGGGGGCAAGCGUUGUUCGGAAUUACUGGGCGUAAAGGGUUUGUAGGUGGCUUGUUAAGUCAGACGUGAAAUCCCUCAGCUUAACUGGGGAACUGCGUCUGAUACUGGUGAGCUUGAGUGCAGGAGAGGAACGCGGAAUUCCAGGUGUAGCGGUGAAAUGCGCAGAUAUCGGGAGGAACACCGGUGGCGAAGGCGGUUCUCUGGGCCUGUACUGACGCUGAGGCGCGAAAGCUAGGGUA